rnacentral:tRNA from 1 species
ACCCAGCUGGCUCAGUUGGUGGAGCAUGUGACUCUUGAUCUUGGGUUGUGAGUUUGAGCCCCACAUUGGGUG